rnacentral:lncRNA from 1 species
CUUUGUGUAGGCUGAGCUCAUUUGAUUUGCCUAGAAAAGUUCUAGACCUAUCCAUUAAGAAUCACCAAUUACUCUCUCUCUCUCUCUCUCUCUCUCUCUCUCUCUCUCUCUCUCUCUCUCUCUCCCCCUCCCUCCCUCCCUCUCAAAAAUAUCCUGGUUUAGGCAAGGCCUUGAGUGGAGCGAUUGGGAAGGCAACCCAGCCAUAAAACCUCCAACAACCUACACUUUGUCCUGCCUUCAUGAUGUCAUGAGAGAGACCAGAGUCCCAUCCAGCAAUGGGAACAGAACUCAGAAAGCUCUGUGGAGGAGAGAGAAGAGGGAUUGGAGGAGCCAGAGGGAUCAAGAACAUGACUCACAGAAUCAACUGACCAGGACUCAACAUCCAGGAUGCCAGAAUUUCAUGCAGGAAGCAUCCCAGCUGUGGAGAAACAUUGAGACCCCAUUCUCUUUCACUGAAAAUGCUGAGAAAUUGAGACAAGAAAUGGGACUCAGGCAGGCAGAGUAGAAAGAGCUCAGAGAAUCUCCGUAAGCAAGUGACCCAACAACAACAUUUCUGAGAAAAUCCUGCCAAAUUCCCCGUCAAGAGUGGAGAUCCUGAAAUAACUGAAAAGAUCUGAAAUUUGGAAAGACCUGUGGCAGAGUUACACUAUCAAAGUCCAGAUGUGCGGUUCCAAAGCUGUUCACCACCAGUCUGGGCUGCUGUCUCAGUCUUGAUCUAACCAGAGAUGCUCCUUGAGGCGAAGCUAAAACAAGGAAUCGGAAACCAGAGUCCUCUCCCAGCGUUCCUGGCCUCCAGCAAGGUCAAUUUUGGAACUGCUGCUUUGGGGGUCCCUAUCCCAAGUUUUUUUUUUUUUCUAUCCUGUCCUCAUUAUCACCACCC